rnacentral:rRNA from 1 species
GACGAACGCUGGCGGCGUGCUUAACACAUGCAAGUCGAACGGAAAGGCCCUGCUUUUGUUGGGUUCUCGAGUGGCGAACGGGUGAGUAACACGUGAGUAACCUGCCCUUGACUUUGGGAUAACUUCAGGAAACUGGGGCUCAUACCGGAUAGGAGCUCCUGCUCCAUGGUGGGGGUUGGAAAGUUUCGGCUGUUGGGGAUGGAAUCGCGGCUUAUCAGCUUGAUGGUGGAGUAGUGGCUUACCAAGGCUUUGACGGGUAGCCGGCCUGAGAGGGUGACCGGACCCAUUGGUACUGCGAUACGGACCAGUAUCGUACGGGAGGCAGCAGUGGGGAUCAUUACACAAUGAGCCCAAGCCUGUAGCAGAAACGCCGCGAUCGGGAUGACCGCCUUCGGGUUGAAAACAGCUUUCGCCGGUGACGAACCGUGCGUGACGGUAAUGAAUAAGAAAGCACCGGCUAACUACGUG